rnacentral:rRNA from 1 species
UACGUAGGGGGCGAGCGUUGUCCGGAAUCAUUGGGCGUAAAGCGCGUGUAGGCGGCCCGGUAAGUCCGCUGUGAAAGUCCAGGGCUCAACCCUGGGAUGCCGGUGGAUACUGUCGGGCUCGAGUCCGGAAGAGGCGAGUGGAAUUCCUGGUGUAGCGGUGAAAUGCGCAGAUAUCAGGAGGAACACCAAUGGCGAAGGCAGCUCGCUGGGACGGUACUGAUGCUGAGACGCGAAAGCGUGGGGAGCAAACAGG